rnacentral:rRNA from 1 species
GACGAACGCUGGCGGCGUGCUUAACACAUGCAAGUCGAACGGUAAGGCCCUUCGGGGUACACGAGUGGCGAACGGGUGAGUAACACGUGGGUGAUCUGCCCUGCACUUUGGGAUAAGCCUGGGAAACUGGGUCUAAUACCGAAUACACCCUGCUGGUCGCAUGGCCUGGUGGGGGAAAGCUUUUGCGGUGUGGGAUGGGCCCGCGGCCUAUCAGCGUGUUGGUGGGGUGAUGGCCUACCAAGGCGACGACGGGUAGCCGGCCUGAGAGGGUGACCGGCCACACGGGGACUGAGAUACGGCCCAGACUCCUACGGGAGGCAGCAGUGGGGAAUAUUGCACAAUGGGCGCAAGCCUGAUGCAGCGACGCCGCGUGAGGGAUGACGGCCUUCGGGUUGUAAACCUCUUUCAAUAGGGACGAAGCGCAAGUGACGGUACCUAUAGAAGAAGGACCGGCCAACUACGUGCCAGCAGCCGCCGUAA